CGGGUGGAGGUUCAUUAAUAUUCUGGUCAUCCAUUGUAUCAUUAACGUAUGCCCGUGAUUUUUCGAAGGCACUGGCACAGAAAUCAAAGGGUUUUCCAGCUUGCACAGAAUCACUGGAUGUCUCAAGAGUCACUUUAUUGGAGUCAAUCCUCAGUUCAUCAUGCAACUCUGAAGAACUAUUUUCAGUUGUCUGGUAACAAUGAAAGGAAGAUUCAAAGGUCUCCUUAUUCAAUUUGUCAUCCUCUGAGAACUUAACUACCUUUCGCACUUCCUCUUUGACAAGNNNNNNNCAUAUUCGACCAAAGACACCUUUGUGGACACAUGUAGUUCAUUUUCUACAUAUUCUAAGAUGCAUUUUAUGCCAUCAUAUGCACAACCACUGUCUGAUAGGCUGUUCAGUUUUGAUGACUUCUCCCCAAAAGGCACAAAUGAAGAAAUGCAAGGUGAUUGUGAUUGACUAUCUUUUUCAACCAUCACAAGAUCAAAAUCAGGAGGACAUUCAACAUCGCAAUCAAAGGAUUCAAGCUCACUGGGUAAUUUUUCAGUCUCCUUGACAUAAUCCGUGACAGUAGCAGGGAUUCUAAUAUUUUGAUGAGCAAACCAAUGUUUUCUUUUCCGCCAGAAAGUAGAAUAUUCUCUUAUGGCAUCAUAAAAGACAGCAUUCCACAUGACUUCCAUGCAAUAAUCAAAAAGAAUUCUACAAACAACUGCAUAAGACCUCCAGACAUUAUCAAUGCUUCCAACAGAUUUUGUGCUUCUUUGAAACUGCACAGGUAUCUGAUCAACAUAUGCCUUAUCAGAG
rnacentral:misc_RNA from 1 species